UGUAAGAAAUGCCGUUUUCUAAAGCAAUUGUCUCGCGCUGUUUGUGCAACAGCUGUGAACGGCGUGGUACAGCUCAUUAAACAUACACUGGUAGAACGUGUUUUAUAGUUUCCAUUCUUUUCGACAUGUGCUUUACCCUAGAGUGAAGAGUAUUACUGUAGAUUCAUCAAGCAAUUCUAUAUCUUUCAUUCGUAAGAAUAAAAACCAAUAUUCGAAGAGCAUUUCACACAAAGAUAUACAUAAUAAAGUCGUUAAAUUAUGCAAAUAUGUGGUCAGGAAGCCGAUAGGAUCAAGCUGAUACUUCAAAGACAAAACGAGACAUUAUUAUUUAUUCGUUUGACUGCGUUGACAAAAUUUAUGUAGCAUUAUUUCAUGUUUAAAAAUAUAAUAAGGAAGUUGUGAUAUCCUAUGAAAAAAGUGACGCUGUUUGUUUGGAAAUCUGCAGAUUAAGAGGAAUUCAACCACCUGAAAUCACUAGUAUACGUAUACUGGUCUUGAAUUUUGCAGGCAGUUGAAUCCAUAUCAAUCUGCAUCUUCACUACCAAUGCAGGUGACACAGCGCGUUCGAGUUCACUGUCAGUUUCAAACUAUCAGAUAGAUUGCAAUAUCUUCAUUAUAAAGUGCAUGUUUUCUGAGCACAUGAGAAAAAGGCGAAUUGAAUUCAACUUUGAACAAACACGUGGGAAUUCGGUCGGGCAUGUGUGAUUUCAUCUUUUGCGUGUUGUUCAAUAUAGUUUGGUUUUUGGCGAUAAACAGGCUGUGUAGGCGAGCAGUAUCAAGUAUGUUUUAUAUUGGCUAUUGCACUUCAUACAAGUGGAUUUUGUUUUGCUAAUGUACGCUUUGCUAAAUUGUCUAUAGUCUGCAAGGAUUUGUUGUAUGUAAAAUAAAAGUGUAAAUGAACGAUCAAUGGCAGUGCCCAGCCUAUUUUGCUUGUAAAAGGGUCGAAUACUUUCGAUGCGUGCCACUGUCAGAUUGAAGUUAAUUUUUUCUUGAAAUGCAUGGUAACUUGUCAUUAGGAAGGGAAAAAGGAAGGAAGUUUAAGCACUUCUUCGUUGAAUUUUACUUCAUGCAAAAGCAACUCGAGUACAUUUCAAAAGAUCUUUAAACCUAGCUUGGAGGGACAAAUACACCUUUGUUUCGACAGUUAUUCUGACGAGCGAUUUUUACAAGUUUCAACAGGUCAACCUUUGAACUAUAGAUUCUUCGCGUGAUGAAACGUAUAGAUCGUUAUUGGGCUGAAUUGCUUCGCCUUCAUAUACAAACCCUAGUGAUUAAACUCAUUUUCAACAAGACUUUUCUUUUAUGUAAAAGACAAUAUUCUAGGCUGUACUAUAUGCAUUACACAAUUUUGAAACUUAUCGAGACUUCUAAUGGUGAAAUUCUGAUUUUGAAGAAGAGGGGAGAUCGAAAAAAACUGACUUGAAGACAGCAACAUCCAAAUUGGCCAAGGUCCAUAAACAUCAAAGAUAAAAAGUCCC